rnacentral:rRNA from 1 species
UACGUAGGGACCAAGCGUUGUUCGGAUUUACUGGGCGUAAAGGGCGCGUAGGCGGCAAUUCAAGUCAUCUGUGAAAUCUCCGGGCUUAACUCGGAACGGUCAGAUGAUACUGCUUUGCUAGAGUACAGAAGGGGCAAUCGGAAUUCUUGGUGUAGCGGUGAAAUGCGUAGAUAUCAAGAGGAACACCUGAGGUGAAGACGGGUUGCUGGGCUGAUACUGGCGCUGAGGCGCGAAAGCUAGGGUAGCAAACGGG